rnacentral:rRNA from 1 species
GUGGGGAUGACGUCAAAUCAUCAUGCCCCUUAUGAUUUGGGCUACACACGUGCUACAAUGGACAAUACAAAGGGCAGCGAAACCGCGAGGUCAAGCAAAUCCCAUAAAGUUGUUCUCAGUUCGGAUUGUAGUAUGCAACUCGACUACAUGAAGCUGGAAUCGCUAGUAAUCGUAGAUCAGCAUGCUACGGUGAAUACGUUCCCGGGUCUUGUACACACCGCCCGUCACACCACGAGAGUUUGUAACACCCGAAGCCGGUGGAGUAACCUUUAGGAGCUAGCCGUCGAAAAGGUGGA